ANNUUAAGCCUGCAUGUCUAAGUAUAAGCAAUUAUACCGCGAAACUGCGAAUGGCUCAUUAUAUAAGUUAUCGUUUAUUUGAUAAUACUUUACUACUUGGAUAACCGUGGUAAUUCUAGAGCUAAUACAUGCUAAAAAUCCCGACUUCGGAAGGGUUGUAUUUAUUAGAUUAAAAACCAAUACCCCUCGGGGCUCUCUGGUGAAUCAUGAUAACUAGUCGAAUCGACAGGCCUUGUGCCGGCGAUGGCUCAUUCAAAUUUCUCCCCUAUCAACUUUCGAUGUUUGGGUCUUGUCCAAACAUGGUGGCAACGGGUAACGGAGGGUUAGGGCUCGACCCCGGAGAAGGAGCCUGAGAAACGGCUACUACAUCCAAGGAAGGCAGCAGGCGCGCAAAUUACCCAAUCCCGACACGGGGAGGUAGUGACAAUAAAUACUGAUACAGGGCUCUUUUGGGUCUUGUAAUCGGAAUGAGUACAAUUUAAAUCCCUUAACGAGGAACAAUUGGAGGGCAAGUCUGGUGCCAGCAGCCGCGGUAAUUCCAGCUCCAAUAGCGUAUAUUAAAGUUGUUGUGGUUAAAAAGCUCGUAGUUGAACCUUGGGCCUGGCUGGCCGGUCCGCCUCACCGCGUGCACUGGUCCGGCCGGGCCUUUCCCUCUACGGAACCCCAUGCCCUUCACUGGGUGUGGCGGGGAAACAGGACUUUUACUUUGAAAAAAUUAGAGUGCUCAAGGCAGGCCUAUGCUCGAAUACAUUAGCAUGGAAUAAUAGAAUAGGACGUGUGGUUCUAUUUUGUUGGUUUCUAGGACCGCC
rnacentral:rRNA from 1 species